GGGGCUAAUACAUGCAAGUCGAGCGGAACCAAAAGAGCUUGCUCUUUUGGUUUAGCGGCGGACGGGUGAGUAACACGUGGGCAACCUGCCCUGCAGAUCGGGAUAACUCCGGGAAACCGGUGCUAAUACCGAAUAGUUUGCGUUCCUCCUGGAACGGUACGGAAAGACGGUUUCGGCUGUCACUGCAGGAUGGGCCCGCGGCGCAUUAGCUAGUUGGUGGGGUAAUGGCCCACCAAGGCGACGAUGCGUAGCCGACCUGAGAGGGUGAUCGGCCACACUGGGACUGAGACACGGCCCAGACUCCUACGGGAGGCAGCAGUAGGGAAUCUUCCGCAAUGGACGCAAGUCUGACGGAGCAACGCCGCGUGAGUGACGAAGGUUUUCGGAUCGUAAAACUCUGUUGUGAGGAAAAAACAA
rnacentral:rRNA from 1 species